rnacentral:rRNA from 1 species
GCGAACAGAUAAGGAGCUUGCUCCUUUGACGUUAGCGGCGGACGGGUGAGUAACACGUGGAUAACCUACCUAUAAGACUGGGAUAACUUCGGGAAACCGGAGCUAAUACCGGAUAAGAUUUUGAACCGCAUGGUUCAAUAGUGAAAGACGGCCUUGCUGUCACUUAUAGAUGGAUCCGCGCCGUAUUAGCUAGUUGGUAAGGUAACGGCUUACCAAGGCAACGAUACGUAGCCGACCUGAGAGGGUGAUCGGCCACACUGGAACUGAGACACGGUCCAGACUCCUACGGGAGGCAGCAGUAGGGAAUCUUCCGCAAUGGGCGAAAGCCUGACGGAGCAACGCCGCGUGAGUGAUGAAGGUCUUCGGAUCGUAAAACUCUGUUAUCAGGGAAGAACAAACGUGUAAGUAACUGUGCACGUCUUGACGGUACCUGAUCAGAAAGCCACGGCUAACUACGUGCCAGCAGCCGCGGUAAUACGUAGGUGGCAAGCGUUAUCCGGAAUUAUUGGGCGUAAAGCGCGCGUAGGCGGUUUUUUAAGUCUGAUGUGAAAGCCCACGGCUCAACCGUGGAGGGUCAUUGGAAACUGGAAAACUUGAGUGCAGAAGAGGAAAGUGGAAUUCCAUGUGUAGCGGUGAAAUGCGCAGAGAUAUGGAGGAACACCAGUGGCGAAGGCGACUUUCUGGUCUGUAACUGACGCUGAUGUGCGAAAGCGUGGGGAUCAAACAGGAUUAGAUACCCUGGUAGUCCACGCCGUAAACGAUGAGUGCUAAGUGUUAGGGGGUUUCCGCCCCUUAGUGCUGCAGCUAACGCAUUAAGCACUCCGCCUGGGGAGUACGACCGCAAGGUUGAAACUCAAAGGAAUUGACGGGGACCCGCACAAGCGGUGGAGCAUGUGGUUUAAUUC